UGAGGAAUAUUGGUCAAUGGACGGAAGUCUGAACCAGCCAAGUAGCGUGCAGGAAGACGGCCCUAUGGGUUGUAAACUGCUUUUGUAUGGGGAUAAAGUCAAUCACGUGUGAUUGUUUGCAGGUACCAUACGAAUAAGGACCGGCUAAUUCCGUGCCAGCAGCCGCGGUAAUACGGAAGGUUCGGGCGUUAUCCGGAUUUAUUGGGUUUAAAGGGAGCGUAGGCUGGAGAUUAAGUGUGUUGUGAAAUGUAGACGCUCAACGUCUGAAUUGCAGCGCAUACUGGUUUCCUUGAGUACGCACAACGUUGGCGGAAUUCGUCGUGUAGCGGUGAAAUGCUUAGAUAUGACGAAGAACUCCGAUUGCGAAGGCAGCUGACGGGAGCGCAACUGACGCUUAAGCUCGAAGGUGCGGGUAUCAAACAGGAUUAGAUACCCUGGUAGUCCGCACAGUAAACGAUGGAUGCCCGCUGUUGGUACCUGGUAUCAGCGGCUAAGCGAAAGCAUUAAGCAUCCCACCUGGGGAGUACGCCGGCAACGGUG
rnacentral:rRNA from 1 species